UAUGACCAUAUCACAUUGAAACACUGGUUUCUGUAUGAUCACCAAAGUUAAGCAAUGUCAAUCCUGGGCAGUACCUAUAUGGGUGACUGCUUGGCAAUACCAGGUGUUGUAAG